rnacentral:rRNA from 1 species
UGGGGAAUUUUGGACAAUGGACGCAAGUCUGAUCCAGCCAUGCCGCGUGCGGGAAGAAGGCCUUCGGGUUGUAAACCGCUUUUGUCAGGGAAGAAACGAGUUUCUCUAAUACAGAGACUUAAUGACGGUACCUGAAGAAUAGGCACCGGCUAACUACGUGCCAGCAGCCGCGGUAAUACGUAGGGUGCAAGCGUUAAUCGGAAUUACUGGGCGUAAAGCGUGCGCAGGCGGUUAUGCAAGACAGAUGUGAAAUCCCCGGGCUCAACCUGGGAACUGCAUUUGUGACUGUAUAGCUAGAGUACGGCAGAGGGGGAUGGAAUUCCGCGUGUAGUAGUGAAAUGCGUAGAUAUGCGGAGGAACACCGAUGGCGAAGGCAAUCCCCUGGGCCUGUACUGACGCUCAUGCACGAAAGCGUGGGGAGCAAACA